rnacentral:rRNA from 1 species
GAUGAACGCUGGCGGCGGGCCUAAUACAUGCAAGUCGAGCGAAGCGGGGACGGGUGAGUAACACGUGGAUAACCUCCUAUAAGACUGGGAUAACGACGGGAAACCGAAGCUAACCCCGAUACUUAUAGAUGGAACCGCGCUGCAUGAGCUAGUUGGUAAGGUAACGGCUUACCAAGGCAACGAUGCAUAGCCGACCUGAGAGGGUGAUCAGCCACACUGGAACUGAUACACGGUCCAGACUCCUACGGGAGGCAGCAGUGGGGAAUCUUCCGCAAUGGGCGAAAGCCUGACGGAGCCACGCCGCGUGAGUGAUGAAGGUCUUCGGAUCGUAAAACUCUGUUAUUAGGGAGGCGGUACCUACUCAGAAAGCCACGGCUAACUACGUGCCAGCAGCCGCGGUAAUAC